rnacentral:rRNA from 2 species
CUGGCUCAGGACGAACGCUGGCGGCGUGCCUAAUACAUGCAAGUCGAGCGAAUCAAUAGGAGCUUGCUCCUGUUGGUUAGCGGCGGACGGGUGAGUAACACGUGGGCAACCUGCCUGUAAGACUGGGAUAACACCGGGAAACCGGUGCUAAUACCGGAUAAUCCUUUUCCUCUCAUGAGGAAAAGCUGAAAGUCGGUUUCGGCUGACACUUACAGAUGGGCCCGCGGCGCAUUAGCUAGUUGGUGAGGUAACGGCUCACCAAGGCGACGAUGCGUAGCCGACCUGAGAGGGUGAUCGGCCACACUGGGACUGAGACACGGCCCAGACUCCUACGGGAGGCAGCAGUAGGGAAUCUUCCACAAUGGACGAAAGUCUGAUGGAGCAACGCCGCGUGAGCGAUGAAGGCCUUCGGGUCGUAAAGCUCUGUUGUUAGGGAA